UUAUCUAUUUAAUUUAAUUACAAGAUUUAUUAUUUAUUUUAUUAUAUGAAAUAACAUGUUUUUUUAGUAAAUUUUAUUGAAUGAUUUGUAUUUAUUUAUAGUUUAUAUUUUCUGUGAAGGUUAAAAUAUUUUUAGAUUUUGAAAGUAGAAUUUAAUUUUUGUACCUUUUGUAUCAGGGUUUAUCAAUUUAUUUUAUAUAUUUAUAUUUUUCCCGAAUUUAUAAGAGAUAAUUAAUUUUGUUAUUUGUUGUUUCAUAAAUAUUAAUAAAAUUUAAUUAGGGGAUAUAUUCUAUUCAAUUAUAAUAUAUCUGGUUUCCUAAGAUAUGAAUUUAAUUCAGAUCUAUCAGUUUGUUAAUUUUAUUCUUUAAUUUAAUUUAAAUUUAUGAUAGUUUAAGAAUUUAGGGGAUAAGCUCUAUUUUCAUUUUAUAGUUGAUUGAUAUUUUAUAUUUAUAAAUUAAAUAUUGUAGGUUUAGUAAUGGCCAACAUUUAUUUUGUUAUAAUUAUUUUUAAUUUAUUUAUUUAUUUAUUUGUAACUUAAUUUUUUAUUAGGAUUAAUUAAAAUUAAUGGUUGAAUUUUAAGUUUUAAUGUUAGAAUUAGUAAUUUUUAAAUUUUAUUUAUAGUAACUCGGCAAAUUUGAAUCUCACCUGUUUAUCAAAAACAUGUCCUGUUGUGAUUAUUUAAUAUCAGGUCAUUCCUGCUCAAUGAUAGUAUUGUUUAUUAAAUAGCCGCAGUAUUUUGACUGUGCAAAGGUAGCAUAAUCAUUUGUCUCUUAAUUGGAGGCUUGUAUGAAUGGGUUCAUGAAGUUUUGACUUUCUUUAUAUAAAAUAUUGAAUUUAACUUUUUAGUUAAAAGGCUUAAAAAUUUAUUUAUGGGACGAGAAGACCCUAUAGAAAUUUACUUAUUUAUAUGGGAUUGUUAUUAUUAUUAAUCAAAUAGUUCCAUUUAAAUAAGUUUUGUUGGGGUGACAUUGAGAUUUAUUUAACUCACAAUAAUUUUUUUUAUAAAUUUGUAUAUUUAAUGAUCCUUUAUUAUGGAUUAUAAGAUUAAUUUACCUUAGGGAUAACAGCGUAAUUCCUUUGAAGAGUUCAUAUCGAUGAAGGAGUUUGCGACCUCGAUGUUGGAUUAAAAUUAGUUUUAAGUGUAGAAGCUUAAUUUACUGGGUCUGUUCGACCUUUAAUUUUUUACAUGAUCUGAGUUCAGACCGGCGUGAGCCAGGUCGGUUUCUAUCUAUAAUUUUAUAAAAAUAUCUUAGUACGAAAGGACCAGAUAUUUCAUAUAUUAUGUUUAUUUAUUGAUUAAAAAUUAAUUAU
rnacentral:rRNA from 1 species